CUAAGUUUGAUGGCGACCGGCGCACGGGUGAGUAANACGUAUCCAACCUGCCGAUGACUCGGGGAUAGCCUUUCGAAAGAAAGACUAAUACCCGAUGGCAUAGUUCUUCCGCAUGGUAGAACUAUUAGAGAAUUUCGGUCAUCGAUGGGGAUGCGUUCCAUUAGGUUGUUGGCGGGGUAACGGCCCACCAAGCCUUCGAUGGAUAGGGGUUCUGAGAGGAAGGUCCCCCACAUUGGAACUGAGACACGGUCCAAACUCCUACGGGAGACAGCAUG
rnacentral:rRNA from 1 species